AGAAGGGGCCUAAGAGCUUCUUGAUCACUUUAUCUCUUUCAUGUGCCCUAGCUUUACAUAUAUCUUCAGCAUGAACAUUCAAAUACAAAAGGAUCAAUGUCUUCACCUUUGUUACUUCAUGAUGUGCAUGUGACUCUCUUUUUGGCAUCGCAGACUGUUUUUCCUGGCUCAGAUUCAGUAUGGUUACCAGGCUGGGGUCCAUCACCAUUGGGCACCACUCAAAAGGAACUUUCCUUCUCCACUGUCUUCUCCGGUUUCUUUCCUUUUCCAUUUCUACUACAACUCGUCCACUUCCUCGUCAUCUAUUGCCAUCUUCUGUGUUGUCUUUGUUUCACCCUCGAGCGAAGGAUAAGAGCAUUGUUUUUUCACAACUGGAUGGUUUACUUCUACCAGAAGUGGAUGUAGCCAUGUAUUAUUUUAAUACUACAUCUAAUUCUUCUGAUAAUCUUUUAGCUUGUAUGUUUGAUUUGGAUAUGUUUGAAAAGUUGGGUCUUUUAUAAGAAACUUAUGUUGUUGAGUUUCCAUUGCCUGGUCUCUUUUUUAAUUUCUCACCAUCUAUACUUUAUGUUUGUAACAAUGCUCCUUGCGAUUCUCUUCCGAAGAGAACUGCAAGUUUUACUAGUUUUUUUCCAAUGUCUACUCAAACAUGGAAACGUAAAAGAGCUAUGUUUGAAGUAUCUUCUGAUAUGAGUGAUCUUCCAUUUUCUAUGGAUGUUGUUUUGCCUGUUCAGAUCUCUACUUCUUUAGUGAAACCUUCUUUGGAGAUUCAGCCACCACAAACCAACACUACAACUACUAGGAUGGAGGAAGCCAACCUUGAUUGGCCUCAGUCGGGUCCAUGAAAGUAUUAUUUUAGAGCUGCCAGGGUCCUAAGAUAACCCUAACACGGACCCAGUUGGUUUGAAUCAUUAAGUCCCAUAGUCUGCAUGUUUUUGGCUUUUUAAAAUGAAGACACACUCAAAAGCUACUAUUAUGUUUGUUGCUAAGUUAGGUUUUAAUAAUCUGUUUAGAGUAGACUUUUCAGGUACUACAUGAGGUUUUUUGGUCUUUUGGCAUGAUCAUGUACAAAUAUCUAAUACUACUCCUUUUUUU